GGCGAACGCUGGCGGCGCGCUUAACACAUGCAAGUCGAGCGAGAACCGGGGCUUCGGCCCCGGGGAAAGCGGCGAACGGGUGAGUAACACGUGGGUAACCCACCCUUGGCACCGGGAUAGCCCGGGGAAACCCGGAUUAAUACCGGAUGGCACGGCAGCCUUUCGAGGCGGCCGGGAAAGGUAGCUUCGGCCUCCGGCCAAGGACGGGCCCGCGGCGGAUUAGCUUGGUGGUGGGGUAACGGCGCACCAAGGCGACGAUCCGUAGCUGGUCUGAGAGGACGAUCAGCCACACUGGGACUGAGACACGGCCCAGACUCCUACGGGAGGCAGCAGUGGGGAAUCUUGCGCAAUGGGCGAAAGCCUGACGCAGCGACGCCGCGCGAGGGAAGAAGGCCUUCGGGUUGUAAACCUCUUUCAGGAGGGACGAAGCCACUCGGGUUAACAGCCCAGAGGGUGACGGUACCUCCAGAAGAAGCCCCGGCUAACUACGUGCCAGCCGCCGCAGUAAGAC
rnacentral:rRNA from 1 species